UACAGAGGUCUCAAGCGUUGUUCGGAUUCAUUGGGCGUAAAGGGUGCGUAGGCGGCGCGGUAAGUCGGGUGUGAAAUCUUGGAGCUUAACUCCGAAACUGCAUUCGAUACUGCCGUGCUUGAGGACUGGAGAGGAGACUGGAAUUUACGGUGUAGCGGUGAAAUGCGUAGAUAUCGUGAGGAAGACCAGUGGCGAAGGCGGCUUCCUGGUCCAGUACCGACGUCAGGCACGAAAGCGUGGGGAGCAAACAGG
rnacentral:rRNA from 1 species